rnacentral:rRNA from 1 species
UACAGAGGGGGCAAGCGUUAUUCGGAAUUAUUGGGCGUAAAGGGCGCGUAGGCGGCAUGGCAAGUGGAUGGUGAAAUCCCUCGGCUUAACCGAGGAACUGCCGUCCAAACUGCUUCGCUUGAGACCGGGAGAGGUGAGUGGAAUUCCCAGUGUAGCGGUGAAAUGCGUAGAUAUUGGGAGGAACACCAGUGGCGAAGGCGGCUCACUGGACCGGUACUGACGCUGAUGCGCGAAAGCGUGGGGAGCAAACGGGG